UGCAUCGGCUGGGAAUCGAACCUGGGCCGCCCGCGUGGCAGGCGAGCAUUCUACCACUGAACCACCGAUGG
rnacentral:tRNA from 1 species